rnacentral:misc_RNA from 1 species
CAGAGAACAUCGCCCUCACGGGUGACUCUCCAACCCUAUGUUAUUAUACCUUUGUUGCUUUGGCGAGCCGCCUCGGCCGCUGGCUUCGGCUAGCGAGUGCUCGCCAGAGGACCCCAAACUCUGAAUGUUAGUGUCGUCUGAGUACUAUACAAUAGUUA